UUGUCACAACACAAUUGAUUGGCUCAAACACAUUAAGAAGUAAAGAAAUUCCACAGCAAACUUUUAACAAGGCACAUCUGUUAAUUGAAAUGCAUUCCAGGUGAAUACCUCAUGAAGCUGGUUGAGAGAAUGCCAAGAGUGUGCAAAGCUGUCAUCAAGGCAAAGGACGGCUACUUUGAAGAAUCUAAAAUAUAUUUGGAUUUGUUUAACACUUUUUUUGUGUGGGGGGGAUUACUACAUAUAUACUGUAUUCUAUUCUACUGUAUUUUAGUCAAUGCCACUCCGACAUUGCUCGUCCAAAUAGUUAUACAUUUCUUAAUUCCAUUAUUUUACUUUUGGAAUUGUGUGUAUUGUUGUGAAUUGUUACUAGUGCGCUGUUGGAGCUAGGAAGACAAGCAUUUCGUUACACCCGCAAUAACAUCUGCUAAAUAUGUGUAUGUGACCAAUAAAACGUGAUUUGAAUUUUUUUUUAAAAUUGGUUAAUUAAUGAAUAUAAAGUGUGACUGUUCAUGUGUAUCAUGUCACCAGCCAGAGACUGUAGGUUUGGAAUGACAUAUAAAUAUUUCUGAAGCACCUCCCGGCUAAAGCAACCCUCAGAUGUGCGAGUGCUUUUAAUUUAUAAGAGACAGUUGGAAAACAAAGACAAAUCAGUAAAAAAAUAAUUGACAUUCAGUUGACAUUCUGGCAGUCAACAGGGUUAUGACAGUGUCAUAUGAGGUGGACAUGUCAACACUGUACUUAUAGUAGAUGUCAUGGUUCUGUAAUGUGUUUAAGACAGAUAAGGGCUUCUCAAGCUUUCUACCCAACUCUGGAAAGUUCUCUAACUAAAGUACAGUCUGAGCAAACAUCCAUUCACCAGAAAAAAACAGGCAAACAAAGAAAUGUAUGCAUUUAAAGAAGUGAAAUAUCAGGGGCAUAUUUAUUUAGCCAAUGACUGAAAGAGUUAAAGGGGCAAUCUAAGCCUCUAAACCUUCAAGCUGCAUACUGGACCCUAUUCCAACUAACCUACUGAAAGAGCUGCUUCCUGUGCUUGGCCCUCCUAUGUUGAACAUAAUAAACGGCUCUCUAUCCACCGGAUGUGUACCAAACUCACAAAAGUAGCAGUAAUAAAGCCUUUCCUGAAAAAGCCAAACCUUGACCCAGAAAAUUUUAAAAAACCUAGCGGCCUAUAUCGAAUCUUCCAUUCCUCUCAAAAAUGUUAGAAAAAGCUGUUGCGCAGCAACAAAGACAAUGUAUACAAAAUGCUUCAGUCUGGAUUUAGACCCGAUCAUAGCACUGUGACUGCACUUGUGAAGGUGGUAAAUUACCUUUUAAUGGCGUCAGACCGAGACUCUGCAUCUGUCCUUGUGCUCCUAGACCUUAGUGCUGCUUUUAAUCGCCACAUUCUUUUGGAGAGAUUGGAAACUCAAAUUGGUCAACACAGACAAGCUCUGGCCUGGUUAGGUCUUAUCUGUCGGAAAGAUAUCAGUUUGUCUCUGUGAAUGGUUUGUCCUCUGACAAAUCAAAUGUAAAUUUCGGUGUUCCUCAAGGUUCUGUUUUAGGACCACUAUUGUUUUCACUAUAUAUUUUACCUCUUGGGGAUGUCAUUCGAAAACAUAAUGUUAACUUUAACUGCUAUGCUGAUGACAAACAGCUGUACAUUUCAAUGAAACAUGGUGAAGCCGCAAAAUUGCCCUUGCUAGAAGCCUGUUUUUCAGACAUAAGGAAGUGGAUGGCUGCAAACGUUCUACUUUUAAUCUUGGACAAAACAGAGAUGCUUGUUCUAGGUCCCAAGAAACAAAGAGAUCUUCUGUUGAAUUUGACAAUUAAUCUUGAUGGUUGUACAGUCGUCUCAAAUAAAACUGUGAAGGACCUGGUCGUUACUCUGGACGCUGAUCUCUCUUUUGACGAACAUAUCAAGACUGUUUCAAGGACAGCUUUUUUCCAUCUACGUAACAUUGCAAAAAUCAGAAACCUGUCCAAAAAUGAUGCAGAAAAAUUAAUCCAUGCUUUUGUUAGACUACUGCAAUGCUCUACUUUUCGGCUACCCGGAUAAAGCACUAAAUAAACUUCAGUUAGUGCUAAAUACGGCUGCUAGAAUCCUGACUAGAACCAAAAAUGUUGAUCAUAUUACUCCAGUGCUAGCCUUCCUACACUGGCUUCCUGUUAAGGCAAGGGCUGAUUUCAAGGUUUUACUGCUAACCUACAAAGCAUUAUGGGCUUGCUCCUACAUAUCUUUCCGAUGUGGUCCUGCCGUACAUACCUACCCUACGGUCACAAGAUGCAGGCCUCCUAAUUGGCCCUAUAAUUUCUAAGCAAACAUCUGGAGGCAGGGCUUUCCCCUAUAGAGCUCCAUUUUUAUGGAAUGGUCUGCCUACCCAUGUGAGAGACGCAGACGCAGACUCGGUCUCAACCUUUAAGUCUUCACUGAAGACUCAUCUCUUCAGUAGGUUGAGUGUAGUCUGGCCCAGGAGUGUGAAGGUGAACAGAAAGGCUCUGGAGCAACGAACCGCCCUUGCUGUCUCUCCCCUCUCUCCACUGGGAUUCAAUGCCUCUAACCUUAUUACAGGGGCUGAGUCACUGGCUUACUGUUGCUCUUCCAUGCGUCACUUGAGUGGGUUGAGUCACUGUCAUGAUCUUCCUGUCCGUGGGUUGUGCCGUGGCGGAGAUCUUCGUGGGCUCGGCCUUGUCUCAGGAUGAGGACCUGAGCCUUAGGACCAUGCCUCAGGACUACCUGGCAUCAUGACUCCUUGCUUUCCCCAGUCCACCUGGUCAUGCUGCUGCUCCAGUUUCAACUGUUUUGCCUACGGCUAUGGAACCCUGGCCUGUUUACUGGACGUGCUACCUGUCCCAGACCUGCUGUUUUCAACUCUCUAGAGACAGCAGGAGCGGUAGAGAUACUCUCAAUGAUCGGCUAAGAAAGCCAACUGACAUUUACUCCUGAGGUGCUGACUUGUUGCACCCUCGACAACUACUGUGAUUAUUAUUAUUUGACCAUGCUGGUCAUUUAUGAACAUUUUAACAUCUUGGCCAUGUUCUGUUAUAAUCUCCACCCGGCCACCCCUCAUAGCCUGGUUCCUCUCUAGGUUUCUUCCUAGAUUUUGGCCUUUCUAGGGAGUUUUUCCUAGCCACCGUGCUUCUACACCUGCAUUGCUUGCUGUUUGGGGUUUUAGGCUGGGAUCCUGUACAGCACUUUGAUAUAUCAGCUAAUGUAAGAAGGGCUAUUUAAAUACAUUUGAUUUGAUUUGAUUUUGUGUAGCCUAAAAACAUGGUCACAACUGUAAUUAUAGUAUCAUGGAUGGUCAGUCCUUUUAUCCAUUGCUUUGUCCAUGAGUUUAAGAGUGAUUACAUUUCUCCAGCCCCGUCCCUCAGUGGUGGGGUGAACACUUUGUUAUUGUUGGAACUGCAUAGUUCCCCUUUAAGUACUGCACAUGUAAUAUUUUACUUAUUCAAGAUGGUUUAGAUCCCAAAUGUUUAGGUGCAAUUAGUCUAUAGAAUCUGUAUGAUUUAGAGAUGUGUGUAUAAUCACAGAUUAUGGUAAAUAACGUUAUACUGUAAGGGCUUGAUUUCUCCUUCUGUGAUGGUUGAACGGCUCAGCAUGUCUUUGGCCAAAAUAUGUAAAUAUAUGGAGUCAGCACUUCUUUUAACAGAAUCAUCUUAUAACCUCCUGUGAGGACUGGUGGGAAACACAGCAAUAUAGUAAUCCAUCAUCCUACAUCUCAUUAUUAUUGUCUAUGUAAAGACAAUUGCUCCUUAUCAUAUUUCAAAGAGAGGCCGGUUCACCUAUAGAGCUGCUUCUCCUUUAGAAGUGGUUAACUAGCUGCUUGGGUGGUGGCGUUCUGCUGAAAACGGAUGAUGGAGGAAACGAGGCUUAAAGGAAACAUGACUAUUGACAAAAGCUUUCGCAUAAACGUUAACAUAACACUGAGUCUGAACUCAAAAUAUGGAAAGUGUACUGGCGGAGUGUUGUUUCAACACGGCAUCCUGUCAUUGUAAGACUGGACUUGAUGGAAGAAAAGAGGAAAAGCAAACGGGCCAUCCGAAUCAGGCUCUUGUUUGGUCUCUUCUUACAAAAAUACAUUCCAUAUGUUUGUCUUUAUUUUCAUGUUAUAAAAUACCACAUUCCUAUGGGUCAUAUACAGUACAAUAGCGAAGAAACAACUGUUGCUUAGUGAAACUCUGCUGUUAAAAUUGAAAUAUUAUUGAAUGUUGAAUAAACGUUCCCCUUUAGUCAUUCUAGUAAUGAAUGACCUUGAACUUAUCAUGCUCAUAUCAGCACAGACAUAGGAUAUGUAUGUCUUUAUUUUCAUGGAAUUAAAAAAUGUCACAUUCUGGAAACUGUACAAUGGUGAAGAAACACUUAGCAAAGCUUUGUUAAAUAUUGUUGAAUAUAUCUUGACCUUUAGUCAGUUUAGGAAAGACGGACCGCCUUGUACUCAUCACACUCAGAGCAGCCAAUCAGUCAGACAGCUUCAUGUGGUUCCAGCUACUGGUCUUUGAAGUAAGAUUUCCUAUAGACAUCAGUUUAUCUUUCUGGUACCAGGGCAUACCUCACAUUCAUAAGAGGCCACCCAUGAAGACCUUCAUUUAUGUAUGUUUUGGUAUAGGUGGUUGGGGGGUGAACUUAAAUCCGGUGCACAAUACAUAUAUAGUACCGGUCAAAAGUUUGGACACCCCUCAAUCAAGGGUGUCACGUUCUGACCUUUAUUUCCUUUGUUUUGUCAUUAUUUAGUAUGGUCAGGGCGUGAAUUGGGGUGGGCAGUCUAUGUUUGUUUUUCUAUGAUUUGGGGAUUUCUAUGUUUCGGCCUAGUAUGGUUCUCAAUCAGAGGCAGGUGUCAUUAGUUGUCUCUGAUUGAGAAUCAUACUUAGGUAGCCUGGGUUUCACUGUGUGUUUGUGUGUGUUUGUUUCCGUGUCUGUGUUUUUCACCACACGGUACUGUUUUGGGUUUCGUUCAUUCCACGUUUAUUGUUUUUGUAUUCAGUUGUUCAUGUGUACUAUUUCUUAUUAAAAGAACCAUGGACACUUAC